AAAGAGCGGCUCGUUUUUAGGAGUACGUGUCCUAAACGGGAUCCAGUUUGGGAGCGGUAGGAACAACACGCCACUGUUUGCAGACUGGAAAAGGCACGAGUGCCCGCGUGUGCCAAACGGGAGCAUUAACCCAUGUUGAAAAACACGUCUUGACGUGGUGACCCGGGUCGCUCUUUGUGUGCGUGUGUUCAGACGCCAACUAAAUAUUAUGCGAUAAAACAUCGUAAGCUAGCGCUGGCUCCUAAUUCUCCUUGCAGCGUCUCACAAAACAAACCUACUGUCUUGCUAACUUUCUUUAGAGAUCACUACGUCGCCAAGAAAGACGCCUGCCGAUGGCGAGUAGCGGAGGAAGCGUUUUCAGUGCCUCUCCCCAGUGUUUUCAGCCGAACAAAGUUUGUUUUCAAACGUGACAGGAAAUUUUGAAUGGAGCGUCCUGUUAUUUGAGUCGGAAAGUGCGUGCAUUUGUUUUUACAGAGCCGGGUGAACGAAAGCAGACUCUCAAAGACCCCCUCGUCUUUUUAUUCUAGGACUCGACAGGGCUUUUAUCUGCGAAAAACAUUACCACCAUCUGUAUUCAGGCCAGUUAUUCCUAAUAGAAAAACCAGAAUUUCAUGCUGAGAUAUUGGUGCGUGUUGCAUGUGUCGAUUGGGUAACUCAAGAACUACACGUGAACUGUAAUCCUGCUUCAAGGCCGUGUGACGUAGUCAUAACUUGUCUUGAAAUCUUUCUGAACUUUUAAAUUACGGCCACUGAAAAUGGCCUAAGUAUAUCCUAUCUGUUAGCAAGCCUGUAUAUGGACACACAGGACAAAUUAGCUAGGUGAAGCUUUCGAGGUGCUUUCUUGACUGCUUGUGCAUAUUAAGCAAAACCAGAAGGAUGCAAAUAUGUGAUGCUGCAAAGCUCUAGUGCAUUUUGGAAAUAGCUUCUGUGGCAAGCUGUGGGUAGGAAAACUAGGAAAUGAGUCUGCCUUUGGUUCUGUCUUGUAAGAAGAUGAUUUAACGAUUGUGGUGUGCUCCAGCCAUUCUCUGUCAUGGCAGCAUGGCAUAAAAUGGCAAUCGUCGAACAUCUCCAUCUACGUGCUGCGAAGCUUCUGGAGAAGAACCCAUUCUCUGUCAGCACCCCGAAUCCUUUGCUUCCUUCUCCUGCCAGUCUCCAGCUCGCUCAGCUCCAAGCUCAGCUUACCUUGCACAGGCUAAAAUUGGCUCAGACAGCAGUCACCAGCAACCCAGCAGCUGCAAGUGUCCUGAAUCAAGUGCUCUCCAAAGUGGCCAUGUCUCAGCCGCUGUUUAACCAGUUACGGCAUCCGUCCAUGAUCAGCACCCCCCAGGGGCAUGCCGGAGGACCUCCGCAAGGACCUGGGAUCACUAAUGCUAGGUUUCCAUCUAGUGGAAUCCCUUUUCCAGCACAAAAUCCGGCUCUGGCAGCACAAGGAGGAAGCACAGGGCCUGUUGGGAACAUGCAGACACAAAACCCAAGCGCUGUGGUCAUGAACCCCUUUGGGAGUGUAAUGUCUCAGGCGUCCAGUCAACAGGCUGUAGUGAUGGGUCUGAAUAAGACUGGUCCCUCAACUGUUGCAGGAGGAUUUUAUGAAUACAGUAAACAAAACGUUUCUGCCCCUCAAGUGUACACGUCAGAUGCAGAACAAUCCACUCAGCACAGCUUUAUAACCACUGGGUCGCAUUCAGGAGUGUCCUAUGAGGGUCAUUUUUGUCCUUCAGGCCAGCUCAAACAUGACAGCCAGUCUGGGUUUCAGAAAGAUUUCUAUGGACCCAAUUCUAAAGGGCAGCCUACAGCAGGGCUACAGCCAUUGGCUUUCCCGGGUGAUCAAAUUGUGAGUCAAAAAGCAGAGCCAGGUCCCGUGUUACAUGGUGCAGGUACAAACAACCAGUGGGAAGAUGUCCCUAAUUUCUCCAGCCAAAACAAGCCUGACCUAAUGCCCAGUCCCAGGAUGUGGCCAUCGACAAGUCAGCAGUAUGAAAUAAGAAACGAGCUCUACAACCCCGAAGAACCCACCCCUGACACAAAGUUUAGCUCUGGGGCUCCAGGUCCUUUCAGCAGACUCAACAAUAGUAAACAGAGCUUCAGCAGUUCCCGAAUGAGGCAGGAUGAGGACCCGGUGGCAAAUGCAUCCAAUUUGCCUGUGAGAUCUCUACAGCCUCAUGAGUUAAAUGACUUUCAUGGGAUAGCCCCGCUUCACUUCCCACAUGUCUGCACGGUCUGUGACAAAAAGAUCUUUGAUCUAAAGCUUAUAACGAAAGAAAGGAUGUCAGUACGGGAUGAAAGUCUGUGGGGAUCCAGUUUCAUUCCAUUUGAGCUUCAGCAUGAAGACUUUUUUUUCGACUGGGAUCAGCACAUUAAAGGAAAUCUUCACAUCCAAAAAUGUAUGGCACUUUCGGAAAACAGUGGCAUCCGGUGUGCGUUAAGUUCAGUAGAUGGAACGUUGCACUUAUCGCCAAAUCAUGCUUCAAUUUUUAACCCUUCCAGUAUUGAAGAUUUCUUAUCAACCGUUGGCUCAUCUUAUACCACUGUGUCAGCAAGAUCCUUUGGCCAGCCAGUUCCUACAUUUUCUUCCCUUCCAGCUGGGGUAAGAUUUCCACAAAGGAAAUCCAUCCUUGGUCGAGUAGUACACAUCUGCAAUCUCCCCGAAGGAAGCUGCACAGAGAACGAUGUUAUUAAUCUUGGACUUCCCUUUGGGAAAGUCACUAAUUAUAUCCUUAUGAAAUCUACUAACCAGGCCUUCCUAGAAAUGGCUUACUGCGAAGCAGCACAGGCUAUGGUACAGUACUACAAAGAGAAGCCCGCUAUGAUCAACGAUGACAAGUUACUCAUCAGGAUGUCUAAAAGAUACAAGGAACUUCAGCUGAAGAAACCAGGGAGGAACGUAGCGGCAAUCAUCCAGGACAUCCAUUCUCAGAGGGAGAGGGAUAUGUUCCGUGAAGCAGACAGGUAUGGACCAGAGAGGCCACGAUCUCGCAGCCCCAUCAGCCACUCCCUGUCGCCAAGAUCCCACACACCAAGCUUUACUUCCUGCAGCUCACCCCGCAGUCCGUUGGGCACUGUCAAGGCAGACUGGGGAAAUGGAAGAGAGUCGUGGGAUCAGUCCCCUUAUUCCAGAAGAGAAGAAGAGAGAGAGACAGCACCCUGGAGAGAGAAUGGAGAGGAGAAAAGGGACAGGACUGAUGCAUGGGUACAUGAGAGAAAACAUUAUGCACGGCAGCUGGACAAGCUCGACUUGGAUGAACGGACUGAAGGAGGCAGAGGGCACAGAGACAAAUAUUUAAGGGGUGGUUCGCCCAGCUACAAGAGCAGGGACGAUGAUUAUUACAGAAAAUCAUCCAAGCCAAAAUCUGAUAGGCAUCAGAAGCAGCUGCAGGAUGCACCAGCAAAGCCUAAAAGAAAGGAAGAUGCGAGAUUGAAAGAGCGCAAGCAUUCUCACUGUGAGGAACCAGUGAAGGAGGACAUCUCUGAACAGAAGCCCAGCAAGGGGUCUGAGGGCUCCAGACACAAGCAAAGUGAUAAGAAUAAAACAAAGAAAGCUAACAAAGACCAAGAGGCGGCUCCUACUGCUGCUAAUGAAAGCAGUGAUGCAAAGGAAGCCAAAAUGACUGAGGAUGAGCUUGGGAAAAAGGAGCAUAUUGCAGAGAAGAGCUCACCUUCAACUAAUAAACACGGAAAAGAAUCUGGAGAAACUAUGGAAAGUGCAAGAAAAGAGAAGGAGCGAGACUGGGAGAGUGAAAGCGAGAUGGAAGGUGAGGCCUGGUAUCUGACUAACAUGGAAGAACUAGUAACAGUGGAUGAAGUGGGAGAAGAUGAUCUUAUUAUGGAGCCUGAUAUAACGGAACUUGAAGAAAUCGUUCCGGUUGAUAAAGAUAAAACAAAUUCAGAAAUGUGUCCCUAUGUGUCUGCCAUUUUAGAACUGAAAAAUGACUGUAGCCAAUUAAAUAGGAGUGAUGGCAUAUUUGCCCAUGAAACUAUAGACCCAAAUUUUGUGUCAGCAGAGGAAAGCAUAGCAGCUUCCAGUGGCUGUCAAGAAAAUGAUGAUGCAGUUACUAAAGCAUCAAGCCUAAAUCCGGACACUGAACAGAAGCCAGAUAAAUUGCAAGCAGACAAACUUCAUAGGGAUUCUAAUUACCAUGAUAAGGAGAGGAAAAUGGAAGAAAGCUGUGACUUAAAACCAGAAGAUCCCCAUAAACCAUCUGAUCAUCCGAAAGAAGAGACCCUCCAGCUCCCUGACCAGUUUACGGAUGAUUACAAGCAGAUGGGAUCACAAGAAACGGAGAGCAGAGAAGUCAUGGAAAUGCUUGUGAAAAGCACCAUUGAAGAAGCAAGCCAAGGAAGCCAGGAGUGUCAAGAGACCAAGGCGAAUUCUAGAUACACAGAAAUGAAAUCUCCCGAAUACUCAGAGGUGGAAUCUAAACAAAUGCAUCCUUCACCGGCCUGGGAACAAGAGGACGUGUUCACAGAACUCAGCAUUCCUCUAGGUAUGGAAUUUGUGGUGCCCAGAACUGGGUUUUAUUGCAAACUCUGCGGACUCUUCUACACAAAUGAAGAGACAGCCAAAACAAGUCACUGCAGAAGUACUGUUCACUACAAAAAUCUUCAGCUCCUUGGUGGAGCUACUCCUACUUUACUCCAUUGCAAGCACAAUUGAUCUGCACAGUCUGAUUGUAGCAGGGAGCUUGGUACUCCUGCUACUCUAAAGGAAGGCAGGCUGCAGAAAAAGCAGGUUACAGAAGUAUCUUUCGCAACUUGCAGAAGAGAGUCUGAAAAUGAACGAACAAGACAGCAGUCUGCCACAGGACGACACUGGAAUUGUUCCUCGCUUUGAGAAGAAAAAGUUGUGAUGCCAACGAAGAAUUGGAAAUGGGUGAAUGCCAAUAUUUCCUUGUUGAUCUCUGACGUGACCGUCGAUUUGCACUGUACAGGGGAAUGGAAAGCACAAUAAAGAGCAUGUUCCAUGCAUUUAUGCCCAGAGUGCCCUUAAAAAAACAAAAUGCCUGAAAUAGUUUCCCACGGUGAAGCAGUGCUGGCAUAUCUCUAACAAGCGGAGCUAUUCUUUCUCACACUCUGCACGUUGGGAGCAGCUUCCUGCAUUAAAUUGGAUUCUCAGGGAUUCUCAGCGUUUUCAUUCGGGUGUUGGAGCAUGUUGGGUCAGGCUGAGUAUUUAGAAGUGUCUAGCGUCCUCCAGUGGAAAUAAUCAGAAAGGAAAUGUCCGGAGUGAAAUGAGCUUUAAUGUUGUUGAAACAGUAUCCUUCGCUUCACUCGUUGCCGUAACGAAUAAUAAGUUAUGUAUGCAAGUCCUAAAUGAAUGAUAAACAUUAGAUGGCCCAAUGUAAACUCCAGCUGCAUCUGUGCCUUAGAGAAGUAUUUUAUGUCUGUAAUGUUAGGACGUGAAGUCAGUGUCAUAUAGAGGAAGGUGCAAUUUCUGUCCCAGACAUCUUGCAAUCUAAAUCCAGUGCAGUUAAAUUGCAUAAACUGAAGAUUAAUCUCCUUCAUGUUCCUUCAUAUCCUUUAUUUUCCAUUCUCUUUCCUAUCUGGUGGCCAGGCCACUCUUCAGCCAUUUCUGAUUUUGAAAACUUUCCUUCAGAAAAUUCUAAAAAGCGUGCUUUCUCCAUCUUGGAUUAAGCUCCCACAAAACGCUUUAUAAAUGCCACAUACUCGGAUCACAGUGCUUGUUGAACUACAAGUCUAUCCUUGGUGUGUUUUAUUUUAAACGUGUUUUUCUAAUCUCGGCAACCUUGUAUUUCCUGUUCUUUAUGGAAUUUGGCCAACGCUGUAUUGACAUUUUCUGUAUUUUAUUCUCCUGCUCUUUUUUAUGGCAAAUAUAACAACUCACGGUUCACAGAAUGCUGCAGUGAGAACACAGGAUGCACCAGCAGCUCUGAUGUUAUUAUGUGCCAUUGUUUCUGCAGAGUGUUGUGCUUAGUAUUAUGCACAGCCCCAUUGAAACGCAGCUUGCAAAUUUCAGAUUAAUUUCAAUGGGGCUUUGUGUAGCAAAGUGAAUGUCUGACAACCCUUGCCAAAAACUGAUCCUGGAAUUACACCUUCACAAAAUGCACCCGAGAAUCCAGACAGAUGGUCACUCUGUGUUAUAGAGGGUUGGAAAGUUUUUGAAAUUUCAGUGAAAAAUGGGGUGGGAGAUUUACAAAUUCCCCCCUUCCCAUUUUUUGCCCACUUCUGCAGUCAAUUCCAUUGAAAUUUCUGGGAUUGGAUGCUUAGCUUCUAGCAGUAGGUGGUGGAUGUGGGAAAUCUUUUUUUCCAGAAAGGCUCCAUCCUUGAGAGCAACAUUAAUACUACAAAACAAUGCAAAAUAUCCAGCUCCUGAAACUGCUCCCACCAAAAUGCUUGUUUCACAUAACCAGUACCAUCAGCUGUAUCCUUCUGCCCCUGGAAUAGCUUUCGUCACAGCGCCGUCUCCCAUAGCUCCAUUUUGUUGUUCACUGAGGUCCCAUUUGCCUGGUGCGCAUGUGCCUUCAUUUCAGCAAGAUAGUGCAAAUGGCAGAUUUUGUAUCCUCACUUCUCCAGAGGUCAGGGAUUCUUUGGAGAUUAGAUUUGGAGCUGGCUUAUUGGAAAGAGAUACAAUAAUGAGGUGCAGAGAUGAGCUUCCCUGGCUUCUGGAUAUGUUUGGAUUUGGGCUCAUUUUUCACCUAACACAGGAUUUUUAUUCUUAAAAAUCAUGAAAAACAAACGUAUUUUGCUACACACAUUCUUAUUAUAUUAUAAUAAUAUUUGAAUUCAGUGAUAUAGGUGCAAGUGUGUAUUGGAAGGUAUAGAAAUUAUGGAAGCAACUUCCCUGCCUUCCCUGUCCAAAGCGGCUAAGGUACUUUGCACAGACGGACUGAACAGAAUUACCCACAUGACCUUGCAGCACAGUAGGUCCAGGGGAAAAUUGCCCAAGUGUAAGCACCUGAUUUUUAUAUAGAAAAUGAUUACCCCACUGGGGCCAAGAUUACUGGCAGAUAGUGGCUCCAUCUGGUUGGGCUUGAUGCGGAUGGGAAGAAGAGCUCAUGAUGCGCCAAAGCCACCUGCUUCUAGCAAUUUAUCCUCAGCCCAACAGAAGUAAGAAAAGAAAUGCUUUCAUUAUUGUUAUUAAGAUUAUUUAUUUAUAUUGCAGUCGUACCUGCAGAUCCAGCCCCUUUGCUCUUGGCACUGUGCAAUCACAAGUGUUCCUAGGCCCAAAAGACAGCUAUUACUUUGAGAAUUUUACUUUCCUUUAUUUCCAAAAUCUGCACAUUUUAAAAGCAGGAGAAAACCAACCCUAAGUCUUAGACUAAAUACUAACAAUCUGUGCAAUCAGUUUUCAGCCCAGUGCAAUUUGAGAUGAAGUCCUUCUCACCAAACAGGCUUUCAUGACAAUGCUGACAGGUGCAUCACUCCGAGACAGCUCUCUCACCUGUCCUGCUGAGAGUCAACACAUCUGGAAAGGUAGCUUACUUGCCUCUCUCAGCUACUGUAAAAUAUGUUGUUUCUUUUUUUUUGGCUUGCUAUAUUUAAAAUCUGAAAUUGAAUCUAAGAUGUAUUAUUUUUUUAGUUGGUAUAGAUCUUCACAAAUAUCAUUUUCACUACUUAUAUUAAUAUAUAUACAGCAGCAAGCAGUUUCAAGUCUAGCCAAAAGUUAUUUAUUAUUAUUUAAAGAAGAGCUUCCUCCAUAUUUAUGAAUAAUCUCAACAUGUCUCAACCAAAGAUUUCACUUUUUAAACAAGGAGUGUGUUUUAGUCUGUGCAAAACCUUGAUGGAUUUCAAACAGUCUUUCAUGUCAAAUGCAACUUGCUUUUUCUGAGGUAAAAAUAAAAUAAAAUAAUUGAAACAUUGCCCCAUAAGACUUGACAAAUUGUAAUACUGGCUUGAGCACUAAAUGAGUGUCAGGCUGGUUAUAUUCAGGGUUUUUCUAUUUUCUAACUAUUAAGGCUGUGAUUUGUUGAAUUAUACUUGAACUGGACCAGACGUACUAUUUAUUGAGCUUAUACAAUCUUGUUAAUUUAAGUUUUGGCUUGUAAAACAUUGGAAAGUGUUAGUUCUUGUUGAAUUAUGUAGGAAUUGUCACCAGCAGUAACUGAUCCGUGUAACUGAUUGCAAAGCAUUUCAAUUUGUGUUUCUUAAAAAGAAUGAUUUUAAUAAAGAGACUUUUAAAGCA